GAUGAACGCUGGCGGCGUGCCUAAUACAUGCAAGUCGAGCGAACAGAUAAGGAGCUUGCUCCUUUGAAGUUAGCGGCGGACGGGUGAGUAACACGUGGGUAACCUACCUAUAAGACUGGGAUAACUUCGGGAAACCGGAGCUAAUACCGGAUAACAUUUAGAACCGCAUGGUUCUAAAGUGAAAGAUGGUUUUGCUAUCACUUAUAGAUGGACCCGCGCCGUAUUAGCUAGUUGGUAAGGUAACGGCUUACCAAGGCGACGAUACGUAGCCGACCUGAGAGGGUGAUCGGCCACACUGGAACUGAGACGCGGUCCAGACUCCUACAGGAGGCAGCAGCAGAGAAUCUUACGCAAUGGACGAAAGCCUAACGGAGCACCGCCGCGUGAGUGAUGAAGGGUUUCUGCUCGUAAAACUCUGUUAUUAGGGAAGAACAAAUGUGUAAGUAACUGUGAACAUCUUGACGGUACCUAAUCAGAAAGCCACGGCUAACUACGUG
rnacentral:rRNA from 1 species